rnacentral:rRNA from 1 species
CCUACGGGAGGCAGCAGUGGGGAAUAUUGCGCAAUGGGCGAAAGCCUGACGCAGCGACGCCGCGUGGGGGAUGAAGGCCUUCGGGUUGUAAACCCCUUUCAGCAGGGACGAAGCGAAAGUGACGGUACCUGCAGAAGAAGCACCGGCUAACUACGUGCCAGCAGCCGCGGUAAU